rnacentral:rRNA from 1 species
UUAGAGUUUGAUCCUGGCUCAGUAUGAACGCUAGCGGCGGGCUUAACACAUGCAAGUCGAGGGGCAGCGAGAUCAGUGCUUGCACUGAUUGUCGGCGACCGGCGCACGGGUGCGUAACGCGUAUGCAACCUACCCAUUACAGGGGGAUAACACUGAGAAAUCGGUACUAAUACCCCAUAACAUCCAGGGAGGCAUCUUCUUGGGUUGAAAACUCCGGUGGUAAUGGAUGGGCAUGCGUUGUAUUAGUUAGUUGGUGGGGUAACGGCUCACCAAGACAACGAUACAUAGGGGGACUGAGAGGUUAACCCCCCACAUUGGUACUGAGACACGGACCAAACUCCUACGGGAGGCAGCAGUGAGGAAUAUUGGUCAAUGGACGCAAGUCUGAACCAGCCAUGCCGCGUGCAGGAAGACGGCUCUAUGAGUUGUAAACUGCUUUUGUACGAGGGUAAACGCAGAUACGCGUAUCUGUCUGAAAGUAUCGUACGAAUAAGGAUCGGCUAACUCCGUGCCAGCAGCCGCGGUAAUACGGAGGAUUCAAGCGUUAUCCGGAUUUAUUGGGUUUAAAGGGUGCGUAGGCGGUCGGAUAAGUUAGAGGUGAAAUCCCCGGGGCUCAACUUCGGAAUUGCCUCUGAUACUGUUCGGCUAGAGAGUAGUUGCGGUAGGCGGAAUGUAUGGUGUAGCGGUGAAAUGCUUAGAGAUCAUACAGAACACCGAUUGCGAAGGCAGCUUACCAAGCUACUUCUGACGUUGAGGCACGAAAGCGUGGGGAGCAAACAGGAUUAGAUACCCUGGUAGUCCACGCAGUAAACGAUGAUAACUCGUUGUCGGCGAUACAGUGUCGGUGACUAAGCGAAAGCGAUAAGUUAUCCACCUGGGGAGUACGUUCGCAAGAAUGAAACUCAAAGGAAUUGACGGGGGCCCGCACAAGCGGAGGAACAUGUGGUUUAAUUCGAUGAUACGCGAGGAACCUUACCCGGGCUUGAAAGUUAGUGACGGAUCUUGAAAGAGGUCUUCCCUUCGGGGCACGAAACUAGGUGCUGCAUGGUUGUCGUCAGCUCGUGCCGUGAGGUGUCGGGUUAAGUCCCAUAACGAGCGCAACCCCUACCGUUAGUUGCCAGCAGGUCAAGCUGGGCACUCUGACGGGACUGCCGGUGUAAGCCGAGAGGAAGGUGGGGAUGACGUCAAAUCAGCACGGCCCUUACGUCCGGGGCUACACACGUGUUACAAUGGCAGGUACAGAGGGCAGCUACCCAGCGAUGGGAUGCGAAUCUCGAAAGCCUGACUCAGUUCGGAUUGGAGGCUGAAACCCGCCUCCAUGAAGUUGGAUUCGCUAGUAAUCGCGCAUCAGCCAUGGCGCGGUGAAAAGGUUCCCGGCCCUUGUACA